CAAUGAAUCAGUUAAGAAAAUAUUCCAGAUCAUAAAAUAAACUUUCAGUUGUCGAAAGAGUUCGACAUGGAACUUCCCUCAGUUAAUUUUUGCUCCAAAGUGCUCAUCUUCUUCUGCUGGGUGAUUGCCGUUGGCUUAUCCUCGCCAGUGAAAUCCAAAGAACCGGCGGCACCAGCUGUAAUAAGUCUCAAUGUAGCAAACAUGAAUGCUUCAGCGCUUUCCGAUGCAGCUGACGCGCUAGUUAAAUCUAUCAGAAACCAUCCCAGUGGAUAGGCUUUGUCAACAGUGUUAUUAAUCCAUUUUUGAGAGAAACUUUUUUGAAGAAGUCUAAGAGGAAUCGAUGCAUUCCAACAUGUGAAAAUAUAAACUUUCAAUUGUGA